AGAGUUUGAUCCUGGCUCAGGAUGAACGCUGGCGGCGUGCUUAACACAUGCAAGUCGAACGAACCUUCGGGUUAGUGGCGGACGGGUGAGUAACGCGUGGGAAUCCGCCCUCAGGAGGGGGAUAACGGCUGGAAACGGCCGCUAAUACCCCAUAUGCCGAGAGGUGAAAAGAAAUUCGCCUGAGGAUGAGCCCGCGUCUGAUUAGCUAGUUGGUGGGGUAAGAGCUCACCAAGGCGACGAUCAGUAGCUGGUCUGAGAGGAUGAUCAGCCACACUGGGACUGAGACACGGCCCAGACUCCUACGGGAGGCAGCAGUGGGGAAUUUUCCCAAUGGGCGAAAGCCUGACGGAGCAACGCCGCGUGAGGGAUGAAGGCCUCUGGGCUGUAAACCUCUUUUCUCAAGGAAGAAGACAUGACGGUACUUGAGGAAUAAGCCACGGCUAAUUCCGUGCCAGCAGCCGCGGUAAUACGGGAGUGGCAAGCGUUAUCCGGAAUUAUUGGGCGUAAAGCGUCCGCAGGCGGCCCUGUAAGUCUGUCGUUAAAGCGUGGAGCUUAACUCCAUUUGAGCGAUGGAAACUACAGGGCUUGAGUGUGGUAGGGGCAGAGGGAAUUCCCGGUGUAGCGGUGAAAUGCGUAGAUAUCGGGAAGAACACCAGUGGCGAAGGCGCUCUGCUGGGCCAUAACUGACGCUCAUGGACGAAAGCCAGGGGAGCGAAAGGGAUUAGAUACCCCUGUAGUCCUGGCCGUAAACGAUGAACACUAGGUGUCGGGGGAAUCGACCCCCUCGGUGUCGUAGCCAACGCGUUAAGUGUUCCGCCUGGGGAGUACGCACGCAAGUGUGAAACUCAAAGGAAUUGACGGGGGCCCGCACAAGCGGUGGAGUAUGUGGUUUAAUUCGAUGCAACGCGAAGAACCUUACCAGGGUUUGACAUCCUGCGAAUCCCUUGGAAACGAGGGAGUGCCUUCGGGAGCGCAGAGACAGGUGGUGCAUGGCUGUCGUCAGCUCGUGUCGUGAGAUGUUGGGUUAAGUCCCGCAACGAGCGCAACCCACGUCUUUAGUUGCCAGCAUUCAGUUGGGCACUCUAGAGAGACCGCCGGUGAUAAACCGGAGGAAGGUGUGGAUGACGUCAAGUCAUCAUGCCCCUUACAUCCUGGGCUACACACGUACUACAAUGCUACGGACAAAGGGCAGCAAGCUCGCGAGAGUUAGCAAAUCCCAUAAACCGUGGCUCAGUUCAGAUCGUAGGCUGCAACUCGCCUACGUGAAGGAGGAAUCGCUAGUAAUCGCAGGUCAGCAUACUGCGGUGAAUACGUUCCCGGGCCUUGUACACACCGCCCGUCACACCAUGGAAGUUGGCCAUGCCCGAAGUCGUUACUCCAACC
rnacentral:rRNA from 1 species